rnacentral:rRNA from 1 species
GACUAGAGUGGCGAACUGGUGAGUAACACGUAAGAAACCUGCCCUUUAGUGGGGGAUAACAUUUGGAAACAGAUGCUAAUACCGCGUAACAACAAAUCACACAUGUGAUCUGUUUGAAAGGUCCUUUUGGAUCGCUAGAGGAUGGUCUUGCGGCGUAUUAGCUUGUUGGUAGGGUAGAAGCCUACCAAGGCAAUGAUGCGUAGCCGAGUUGAGAGACUGGCCGGCCACAUUGGGACUGAGACACUGCCCAAACUCCUACGGGAGGCUGCAGUAGGGAAUUUUCCGCAAUGCACGAAAGUGUGACGGAGCGACGCCGCGUGUGUGAUGAAGGCUUUCGGGUCGUAAAGCACUGUUGUAAGGGAAGAAUAACUGAAUUCAGAGAAAGUUUUCAGCUUGACGGUACCUUACCAGAAAGGGAUGGCUAAAUACGUGCCAGCAGCCGCGGUAAUACGUAUGUCCCGAGCGUUAUCCGGAUUUAUUGGGCGUAAAGCGAGCGCAGACGGUUUAUUAAGUCUGAUGUGAAAUCCCGAGGCCCAACCUCGGAACUGCAUUGGAAACUGAUUUACUUGAGUGCGAUAGAGGCAAGUGGAACUCCAUGUGUAGCGGUGAAAUGCGUAGAUAUGUGGAAGAACACCAGUGGCGAAAGCGGCUUGCUAGAUCGUAACUGACGUUGAGGCUCGAAAGUAUGGGUAGCAAACGGGAUUAGAUACCCCGGUAGUCCAUACCGUAAACGAUGGGUGCUAGUUGUUAAGAGGUUUCCGCCUCCUAGUGAC